UACAGAGGGGGCAAGCGUUGUUCGGAAUUACUGGGCGUAAAGGGCGCGUAGGCGGCCUCUUAAGUCGAACGUGAAAUCCCCGGGCUCAACCCGGGAACUGCGUCCGAUACUGAGAGUCUUGAGUCCGGGAGAGGUGAGUGGAACUGCGAGUGUAGAGGUGAAAUUCGUAGAUAUUCGCAAGAACACCAGUGGCGAAGGCGGCUCACUGGCCCGGUACUGACGCUGAGGUGCGAAAGCGUGGGGAGCAAACAGG
rnacentral:rRNA from 1 species